rnacentral:lncRNA from 1 species
UGCAAAAUGCACGUUUUUAAAUGGUCUCCAGUGUGGAUUGCUUCUGAGCUGCUGAUGGAUUGAAUACAUUGAGAAGGAAUGUGUCAUUUGGAAUCCAGGACCAGUCAGCAAGGAUAACUGCCUGAUUUUAUGAUUUCGUGACUGAUGCUGAAAUGGAAGCCAACCACUGCAGAAAUUUGGGGGAAAAUGAGAUCUGAAGAAUACAAGGGGAAGUAGGAAUUCAUUUCUAGCAUUUCCAAACCUGCUUAAUCGUGUCUGCUCCACCACAGUCAGAGGAAAAGACUGAGUUCAUGGAAAUUACCAGCUAAGCCUUACAUCUGUCUUUAAUGUUUUUAGGAAGUAUACUGAAAAGGUAAGUGAGAUGUCUGUUUUGAAGAGAGACUCUUACUGGGUACCUUAAAACCCGUUGUUUCCUAUUAGUAAAGAUGGGCAGCUUCUUUAUUCCUAGCUUCAAAAAGCCUUGCCCCUGUUCGGUGUGUUUCUCAGUAUUGUGGAGAAGGUAGUUUCUGAGCAAGGUGGUGCUUUUCCUCUGCUUCUCAGCAGCUAAGACAGAAAUUGCACCGAAGUGUACAAAGGGCCAAUUUUUGUUGUCCUGUUGUGCUCAAAUCCUUUUUUUAAAAAAGUUAUUUCAAUCAAGUCUUAGUUUUAUUCCUCACUAUAUAGGAAAAAAAUCUUUAAUGCCUCAAAAGUUCCAGUCAGCAUUACAUUUGCAUUACUCUUAUUUGCAGCAAAUAUGAGUAAAAUUGUAGGUUUUUAAAGGUCUCUAAUAACAUCCACUUAUAUUGGUUUUGUAGAUAAUCCAUAAAUUACCAGAAAUAAAUUAUUCCACAUUUAUUACACACCCAUGUAAUAGAUGUCGUGCCAGGCCCUGGAAUAUACUAAUGGCAUCACCUCAUGUGGUAAAAAGACACAUUCCGCCAUCCUGGAGUAUACAAAGGUAGACUAGCAUAUAGUUCAUGUGCUCAAGGAGUUCAUUUUUAUUGACAUGAUACAGAUAGAAUUGUAGUUUAGGGAAUCAAAAUAUAAUAAAAUGAGGCUAAUUCCAUUUUCCCAUUAACACUAAUAACUAGUGUGUAAAUCUGAAUAUGACACAUUCUAUAUGAAAGAAGCUCUGUGUGCAUCUACACUAAAUACUCGUGUGUGCCAGGUACUAUUUUAAACUACGUAUAUUUUUUUAAUUCUCAUAACUGUUCUCUGAGGUAAGUACUAAUACUAAAGCUAUUGUCAAAGGAAGGCAGAAAAAUUAAGUAACUUGGCCUAAGUUUGCAUAACUGUGAUCUGGGAUCAAUAUUUGAACCCAUACAGGCUGAUUGCAGAGCCUGCACUCUUAAUUUGAGUGUGAUAUUUAUGUGCAGUACCUGGCUAUAAGUACCCACAAAACGUUUCAAAUUCUUUAUAAAAUUUGCUUAGUUAAAAAAGUACCAAUUGCAUAAUAUGGUUAUAAGUCUGGUAGAAGUUAGGCUUUUUACAAGACAUGCUGCUUACUGCACCAAGGAGGCAAGAAGGCUUUUUAGAGAGCCCAAAAUUUCCUUUCCUCAACUCCUGCUUCCAAGACAGUCAUUUUGCAUGAUAACCGUUUCCCCAAAAAACACAGACACAAAAUUUAAAGAACUGGAACAGAGGAAGCAGAGCUUAUCAUAGUAUAUAUAUUUAGUACCCUGUCACUUAGGUCCACCCCUCUUUCUUUGUGGAUUGUGGACAUUUUGUUUAACUGCUAAAUCAUGAGAAUAUAUGACUGCUGAGACUUUUCCAAGGAUUUUUUAAAAAACACAUUAGGCUUCGUGCAGAAGUAAAGAAAAAGUGCUGUGAGAACCCCAGGUAGGUAAUUUACUUCCUAUUGUACUCAUAGUUUGUUUGAAACCUCUUCACCUCUAUCCCUUAUUGUUUUAUACUCUGUAAAUCUGAUUUUACCUUUAAUAAACUUUUCUGAAGUGAGUGAGUUUUUUGGUCUUAUUUCCCAUUAGAUUCUCUACCUUCUUUGUCCACUUUACGUAUGUUAUUGCCACUCCCUUCAAAACUGGUGGUUUAAUUAAAGUGACAGCAUCUUCUAUGUACCCAGUACUGUUGAGGAUUAAAAAAAUACAUGUGUGCCGGAUGUGGUGGCACACACCUAUAAUCCUAGCACUUUGGGAGGCCUCAGGCAGGAGGAUUGCUUGAGCUAAUGAGUUCGAGACCAGCCUGGUCAACGUGGCAAAACCCCAUCUCUACUAAAAAGACAGAAAGUUAACUGGGCAUGAUGUUGUGCACCUCUCACCCCAGCUACUUGGGAGGCUGAGAGGUGGGAGGGUCACUUGAUCCUGGGAGGUCAACGCUGCGGUGAGCUGAGAACAAGCCACUGCACUCCAGCCUGGGCGACAGAGCGAGACCCUGUCUCAAAAGAAAAAAGAAAAAGUGCCAAGGCUUUGCUCCUAGUUUGGUGCAGGUUCCAACCAGUACUAAAACUUUGCAAAUUUUUGAGGGAAAAACCAGAAGUUGUAGAAUCAACAUGAGCAUUUAAUUGUAUAGCAAGCAAUUGUGGCA